AGCUUUUCGAAUCCAUGCUAAGAUCUCGUCAGACAACAACCCAUUAAAGCUUAUCACACUUCCAAGAUAAGUGAAGUU
rnacentral:pre_miRNA from 1 species